rnacentral:lncRNA from 1 species
AGAGUCCUGCCAAGGGCUACGAGGCAGAAAACUGAUAUUAUUAAAGUGGUCUUCUGAACGCAACUCUCUGCAAGGUCCUAAGGGUUCUAAGUUGAAUAAGGCCCACUCCCUCCCUUCCAGGACUUUAGCUGAGGUUGGUUGGGGCAGAAGUCGGGCAAGACUCAUCGGAACGGAUUAACAGAGACAGAAUCCAGAGGCAACGGGGUGAAUUCCAAGUAUAGAAAAGACACACUUGGUCUGAGGGUAUGUUUCAGCUCAGGCAUGCUGCCAUCAGGACCACGUAAAGCUGGAUUUUUCUACGCUAGUCCAUUUGCACGAUCUGGACUCAGAAGAGAUUUAAGUUUCAAAUCUGGCUUUGUCAGUUAAUGCUUGUGGGAUCUCAACCACGUCACUGACUUCUCUGAGCAUGCUUCCAUAUUUCUACAAAGGAAACAAUAGGUGACUCUGCUGAGUUGAGCACUUGCGAGUACCAAGCAGUGAGGACCUGAGGCACAGAUGCUAACCAGCUUGCUGGAGAUCACACACUCAUGAGUGGCAGAGUGGGGCUUGGAACCGGGUAGCCUGGCUCUGGAGCCCUCACUCCAUCCACACACCAUGCUGGGACCCAGUCGAGUGACCAGCAGACCGGUUGUGUGGGUUAGGUGGAAUGGUGGAUAUAAACCACACAGCCCAGCUCCUGACCCAUGCUGGGCCCUCAGUGUAUGUUUAAGCUCAGGCUGGAAAAGGAUCACUGAAAGUCACUUGGAUGGUGUCUCGUGUGUCUGUGAUGAGCUUGCUGUUGCUUUCUUUCUCCUUGACAGAUGAGAAAACAGUGGCUUCAAAGGUUAAACAACUUGUCUUCGAUUGCACAGCUAACAAGAGAUACUGUUAUAUGUGCUCAUGUAAAUUGUCUGGCAAUUAGCUGCAAGAGGAUUGUAGGAAGAGAUUCUACCUAUCCAUCUCUUUACACCAUGCCUUCUGAAGAGAAGAUUUUCGGAGAGAAUCCUUGGAUUUAGUCAGGAAUAUUAGAUCCCUAAAUAAAAAUGUCUAAAAUCCUUUCCCCAUUCUUUGUUGUUGUUUUUGAGAUAGGGUCUCACUCUGUCACCCAGGCUGGAGUGGUGGUGGUGUGAUUACAGCUCACUGCAGCCUCAACCUCUUAGGCUCAGGUGAUCCUCCCAUCUUAGCCUCCCAGUACACCCGGCUAACUUUUUGUAUUUUUGGUAGAGAUGGGGUUUCACCAUGUUGCCCAGGCUGGUCUUGAACUCCUGAGCUCAAGCGAUCCACCUGCCUUGGCCUCCCAAAAUGCUGGGAUUACAGACAUGAGCCACCGUGCCCAGGCUGUUUUUUAUUUGUAUAAAUUUAAGGGGCAAAACUGCAGUUUUGU